AUGGUAGCCGGACCAAACAAGCAGCAGCGGCAUUGCAAAAAAGAAGCAGAGGCAACAAGCAACAGCCGCGGCAGUCUAGCAGCAGAAGGAAGUAGCGGAGCAGCGCUAGUAGCAAGGAGCAGUACCAGCGGCAAGAGAAGCAGUAGAGAGCAGCGGCAACAGGUGUGGGCUCGGGACCGGGAGCAGCAGCCAAAGCAGCGUAGCAACAGGAGCAGCGAGCAGCCGCAGCGAAGCAGCGAGCAGCAGCAAGCCGUGGAGAGGCUACGCGCGCGCGCGCGCGCCCAGCAGCGGCACCAACAGCGCACGAGAGGCAGUGGCGGGGCCAAACGGGGAGAAGCACUCGAUCCCGGCGGUGUGGCGGCUCCCGACUCGUACGCGUGGUCGGGGAUGAAGCAGCGGAUGUCGGCGGUUCUCUGGGACUCGACGGUGCGGCGCGGGGCAGCCGGUGGCCAUGGCAAUGGCGAUAGUAGCGAGCGGCUGCGCGAUGCGAAGAAGAGAACGAGCGAGGGGAGGGGAAAGUGGGCGCUAGGGUUUGCCUAUGCGUUUGGGGAUGGUCUUAUCCUCCUCCCGGCGUCCCUGUAG
rnacentral:rRNA from 1 species